GCGGUCGUGGCGGAAUUGGUAGACGCGCCAGCUUGAGGGGCUGGUCGAGAAAUUCUUGGUGGGGGUUCGAGUCCCCCCGACCGCA
rnacentral:tRNA from 2 species